rnacentral:misc_RNA from 1 species
AAGUCGUAACAAGGUUUCCGUAGGUGAACCUGCGGAAGGAUCAUUAACACGUCUAAUCCACGUUAUCAACCAAAGGUCAUUGUUUUCAACCAUCUCCCUCUAAGGUAAAUAAACUGAGCCGCUCGCAGGAUAUUUGUUGGGGCUUCCUUCGGGAAGUUAAUCUGCUUGUCGCAAACUGAAGUUCUUGAAAAAGGCUUCGACGGUUAUAUUACACACGAGGCCAACCGUGCCUGUCACUGAUGUUUUCAACAGUGCAAGUAGUGACAGGACAAUUAUUAACCUAUUUCACCCUUUUUUGCUAGUUGACUUUUAAUUGUAUUCUUCGCUUCGGUGUGGAAUGCACGUUUAUUUAUUUGAACGUUAAAAAAUACAACUCUUAGCAAUGGAUAUCUCGGUUCUC